rnacentral:rRNA from 1 species
UGAGGGAAUAUUGGGUCAAUGGGCGAGAGCCUGAACCAGCCAAGUAGCGUGAGGGAUGACUGCCCUAUGGGUUGUAAACCUCUUUUGUUUGGGAAUAAAGUGCGGGACGUGUCCCGCAUUGCAUGUACCAUUUGAAUAAGGACCGGCUAAUUCCGUGCCAGCAGCCGCGGUAAUACGGAAGGUCCAGGCGUUAUCCGGAUUUAUUGGGUUUAAAGGGAGCGCAGGCGGACUUUUAAGUCAGCUGUUAAAUUCGGUGGCUCAACCAUCGCAUGCAGUUGAAACUGGAGGUCUUGAGUGUACACAGGGAUGCUGGAAUUCAUGGUGUAGCGGUGAAAUGCUCAGAUAUCAUGAAGAACUCCAAUCGCGAAGGCAGGCAUCCGGGGUACAACUGACGCUGAGGCUCGAAAGUGCGGGUAUCAAACAGGAUUAGAUACCCUGGUAGU